rnacentral:rRNA from 1 species
AUUGAACGCUGGCGGCAGGCCUAACACAUGCAAGUCGAACGGUAACAGGAAGCAGCUUGCUGCUUUGCUGACGAGUGGCGGACGGGUGAGUAAUGUCUGGGAAACUGCCUGAUGGAGGGGGAUAACUACUGGAAACGGUAGCUAAUACCGCAUAACGUCGCAAGACCAAAGAGGGGGACCUUCGGGCCUCUUGCCAUCGGAUGUGCCCAGAUGGGAUAAGCUAGUAGGUGGGGUAACGGGUCACCUAGGCGACGAUCCCUAGCUGGUCUGAGAGGAUGACCAGCCACACUGGAACUGGGACGCGGUCCAGACUCCUACGGGAGGCAGCAGUGGGGAAUAUUGCACAAUGGGCGCAAGCCUGAUGCAGCCAUGCCGCGUGUAUGAAGAAGGCCUUCGGGUUGUAAAGUACUUUCAGCGAGGAGGAAGGUGUUGUGGUUAAUAACCGCAGCAAUUGACGUUACUCGCAGAAGAAGCACCGGCUAACUCCGUGCCAGCAGCCGCAGUAAGAC